rnacentral:tRNA from 1 species
CAAUAAAUAGUUUAAUUUAAAAUAUUAAUUUUGGAAAUUAAUGAUAUAAUAUUUUAUUUUAUUGA